GAUGAACGCUGGCGGCGUGCCUAAUACAUGCAAGUCGAGCGGACGGACGAGGAGCUUUCUUCUCUUCAGUUAGCGACGGACGGGUGAGUAACACGUGGAUAACCUACCUAUAAGGCUGGGAUCACUUCAGGAGACCGGAGCUCAUACCGGAUAAUAUGUUGAACCGCAUGGUUCAACAGUGAAAGACGGUUUUGCUGUCACUUAUAGGUGGAUCCGCGCUGCAUUAGCUAGUUGGUAAGGUAACGGCUUACCAAGGCAACGAUGCGUAGCCGACCUGAGAGGGUGAUCGGCCACACUGGAACUGAGACACGGUCCAGACUCCUACGGGAGGCAGCAGUAGGGAAUAUUCGGCAAUGGGCGAAAGCCUGACGGAGCAACGCCGCGUGAGUGAUGAAGGUCUUCGGAUUGUAAAACUCUGUUAGUAGGGAAGAACAGAUGUGUAAGUAACUCUGCACGUCUUGACGGUACCUAAACAGAAAGCCACGGCUAACUACGUG
rnacentral:rRNA from 1 species